rnacentral:tRNA from 1 species
GCAUUAGUGGUAUAGCGGCAGAAUUCAAGCUUCCCAAGCUUGCGACCCGGGUUCGAUUCCCGGCUAAUGCA